GAUGAAGAACGCAGCGAAAAGCGAUAAGUAAUGUGAAUUGCAGAAUUCAGUGAAUCAUCGAAUCUUUGAACGCACAUUGCGCCCGCCAGUAUUCUGGCGGGCAUGCCUGUUCGAGCGUCAUUUCAACCAUCAAGCCCCAGGCUUGUGUUGGGGACCUGCGGCUGCCGCAGGCCCUGAAAACCAGUGGCGGGCUCGCUGUCACACCGGGCGUAGUAGAUUUUAUCUCGCUCAGGGCGUGCUGCGGGUUCCGGCCGUUAAAAAGCCUUUUUUACCCAAGGUUGACCUCGGAUCAGGUAGGAAGACCCGCUGAACUUAAGCAUAUCAAUAAGCGGAGGA
rnacentral:misc_RNA from 1 species